CAAUGAAAGAAGCAUGAUAAUGUACACAUAAAUUGAUUUGGGUCUCUAAGUCUAUUCUCUCUCAUGCCAUAUGACUUUGAUUUAGGGGCAUGAUUUUACAACAAAACG